rnacentral:rRNA from 1 species
GAUGAACGCUGGCGGCGUGCCUAAUACAUGCAAGUCGAGCGAACGGACGAGAAGCUUGCUUUUCUGAUGUUAGCGGCGGACGGGUGAGUAACACGUGGAUAACCUACCUAUAAGACUGGGAUAACUUCGGGAAACCGGAGCUAAUACCGGAUAAUAUUUUGAACCGCAUGAUUCAAAAGUGAAAGACGGUCUUGCUGUCACUUAUAGAUGGAUCCGCGCUGCAUUAGCUAGUUGGUAAGGUAACGGCUUACCAAGGCAACGAUGCAUAGCCGACCUGAGAGGGUGAUCGGACACACUGGAACUGAGACACGGUCCAGACUCCUACGGGAGGCAGCAGUAGGGAAUCUUCCGCAAUGGGCGAAAGCCUGACGGAGCAACGCCGCGUGAGUGAUGAAGGUCUUCGGAUCGUAAAACUCUGUUAUUAGGGAAGAACAUAUGUGUAAGUAACUGUGCACAUCUUGACGGUACCUAAUCAGAAAGCCACGGCUAACUACGUG